CCUACGGGUGGCUGCAGUAGGGAAUAUUGCUCAAUGGGGGAAACCCUGAAGCAGCAACGCCGCGUGGAGGAUGAAGGUUUUCGGAUUGUAAACUCCUUUUGUUAGAGAAGAUCAUGAUGGUAUCUAUAGCAUAAGCACCGGCUAACUCCGGGCCAGCAGCCGCGGUAAUACGGAGGGUGCAAGCGUUACUCGGAAUCACGGGGCGUAAAGUGCGCGUAGGCGGGUUAGCAAGUCAGAUGUGAAAUCCUAUGGCUUAACCAUUGAACUGCAUUUGAAACUGGCAUUCUAGAGUAUGGGAGAGGUAGGUAGAAUUCUUGGUGUAGGGGUAAAAUCCGUAGAGAUCAAGAGGAAUACUCAUGGCGAAGGCGACCUGCUAGAACAUAACUGACGCUGAUGCGCGAAAGCGUGGGGAGCAAACAGGAUUAGAUACCCGUGUAGUC
rnacentral:rRNA from 1 species